rnacentral:lncRNA from 1 species
UCAGAUUCAGGCAGGAGGAAUUCCCCCUUACUCAGUUUUUUCCCCCACUACUUAUAUCUUCAUUGACUGGGUGAGCCAUCCGUAUUAGGAAAGGCAAUUUGCUGUACUUAAGUCUCUCCAUUAAAAUAGAAACUUCAUCAAGGAAUGCCCUCGCUGGCCUGGGGUUAUGGCUCAGUGGUACAGCGUUUGCCUAGCAUGUGUGAGGCGCACUGGGUUUAUUUCUCAGCACUGCAUAUAAAAAAAUGAGUAAAAUAAAAUGCCCAUCAACAACUAGACAUAUAUUAAAAAAAGAAGUGCCCUUCACUGACACACCCAGGAUAAUGUUUGAUCAAAUGUCACCCUGUGACCUAGUCAAGUUGUCACAUAAAAUGAAUCUUCACAGAUAUACGUGAUAUUUUUAGUUCAUUAGUUUAAUAUAAUAUCCAACCUGCCAGAUCAUUUUGUAAGCGACACCCUUCAUUUCAAAUGCUCAGAGCAAGCAGACAGCUCUGUGGAUGUUCCCACACUUCUAUCCCUAUCAGUUCAGCUAGAUUCUUUUCACAAGUCAGCUGUACUUGAACCUCAACUUUUUUCAAUUAUAUAACUUAGUUUUCCAAUUGUGUAACUUAAUACAUGUUAUGAAAACUGAUCAAAUGCAAAUGCAAAAAGAAGCAAGUUUUGUGUCCAUAAAAACUACAUUGGAUGUUUUAGACAGGAUAAACGUAGAGUAGUUCAAUAUUUUUCAAAUAGGUGUAAAUAUGACAAUGAUAAAAUAUUGGGAGGGGAGGGGACUAGGAUUCUGAACUCAAUUUUUUUCCCAAGUGUCUUUCAGUUCUUGUUUCAUUUUUUAAAAAACUGAAACUUGAAAUCCUAGAGAGAGUGUUAUUGUUGUAGUUCAUGCAAAAAGUUUGGUUAUGGGUUAACCAGGGGGAAUUCCAAUCAGGUGACCUCUCUCAAAGAAAGGAUACUGACCUCAAAAUAAAAGACUGGAAAAUGGCAAAAAUGGCAGAUGAAUAUAUAUAUAUAUAUAUAUAUGUAUAAUAUAAAUAUUAUAUAAUGAUAUAUUAAAAUAAAAUAUUUCAUUUAAAUGU